CCUACGGGAGGCAGCAGUGGGGAAUAUUGGACAAUGGGCGAAAGCCUGAUCCAGCCAUGCCGCGUGUGUGAAGAAGGCCUUCGGGUUGUAAAGCACUUUCAGUGGGGAAGAAAGCCUUGGGGCUAAUACCCUCGAGGAAGGACAUCACCCACAGAAGAAGCACCGGCUAACUCCGUGCCAGCAGUCGCGGUAAUACGGAGGGUGCGAGCGUUAAUCGGAAUUACUGGGCGUAAAGCGCGCGUAGGCGGUCUGAUAAGCCGGUUGUGAAAGCCCCGGGCUCAACCUGGGAACGGCAUCCGGAACUGUCAGGCUAGAGUGCAGGAGAGGAAGGUAGAAUUCCCGGUGUAGCGGUGAAAUGCGUAGAGAUCGGGAGGAAUACCAGUGGCGAAGGCGGCCUUCUGGACUGACACUGACGCUGAGGUGCGAAAGCGUGGGUAGCAAACAGGAUUAGAUACCCGAGUAGUC
rnacentral:rRNA from 1 species